UACGGAGGGUGCAAGCGUUAAUCGGAAUUACUGGGCGUAAAGCGCACGUAGGCGGUUCGUUAUGUCGGAUGUGAAAGCCCUUGGCUUAACCGAGGAAGUGCAUCCGAAACUGGCGAGCUAGAGUACGAAAGAGGAUCGCGGAAUUCCCGGUGUAGAGGUGAAAUUCGUAGAUAUCGGGAGGAACACCGGUGGCGAAGGCGGCGAUCUGGGUCGAUACUGACGCUGAGGUGCGAAAGCGUGGGGAGCAAACAGG
rnacentral:rRNA from 1 species